rnacentral:rRNA from 1 species
AUUGAACGCUGGCGGCAGGCCUAACACAUGCAAGUCGAACGAGUGGCGGACGGGUGAGUAAUGUCUGGGAAACUGCCUGAUGGAGGGGGAUAACUACUGGAAACGGUAGCUAAUACCGCAUACCAUCAGAUGUGCCCAGAUGGGAUUAGAUAGUUGGUGGGGUAACGGCUCACCAAGGCGACGAUCCCUAGCUGGUCUGAGAGGAUGACCGGCAACAGGGGAACCGGUCAACGUUCCAGACCCCUCGGGGAGGCAGCAGUGGGGAAUAUUGCACAAUGGGCGCAAGCCUGAUGCAGCCAUGCCGCGUGUAUGAAGAAGGCCUUCGGGUUGUAAAGUACUUUCAGCGGGGAGGCGUUACCCGAAGAAGAAGCACCGGCUAACUCCGUGCCAGCAGCCGCGGUAAUAC